UACGUAGGGGGCUAGCGUUGUCCGGAAUCAUUGGGCGUAAAGCGCGUGUAGGCGGUCCGGUAAGUCCGCUGUGAAAGUCGGGGGCUCAACCCUCGGAUGCCGGUGGAUACUGUCGGGCUUGAGUACGGAAGAGGCGAGUGGAAUUCCUGGUGUAGCGGUGAAAUGCUUAGAUAUGACACAGAACACCGAUUGCGUAGGCAGCUUACUAAACUGUAACUGACGCUGAGGCACGAAAGCGUGGGGAGCAAACAGG
rnacentral:rRNA from 1 species